ensembl:snRNA U6 U6 spliceosomal RNA
GUGCUCGCUUCGGCAGCACAUAUACUAAAAUUGGAACAAUACAGAGAAGAUUAGUGUGGCCCCUGCACAAGGGUGACACACACAAAUUCAUGAAGCAUUCCACAUUUUU